GCUAAACGCGAAGAACCUUACCUAGGCUUGACAUAUACCGAAAACUCACAGAGAUGUGGGGUCCGCAAGGGCGGUAUACAGGUAGUGCAUGGUUGUCGUCAGCUCGUGUCGUGAGAUGUUGGGUUAAGUCCCGCAACGAGCGCAACCCUCGUUCUAUGUUGCCAGCACGUAAUGGUGGGGACUCAUAGGAGACUGCCGGGGUCAACUCGGAGGAAGGUGGGGAUGACGUCAAAUCAUCAUGCCCCUUAUGUCUUGGGCUUCACGCAUGCUACAAUGGCCGGUACAAAGGGCUGCAAUACCGCGAGGUGGAGCGAAUCCCAAAAAGCCGGUCUCAGUUCGGAUUGAGGUCUGCAACUCGACCUCAUGAAGUCGGAGUCGCUAGUAAUCGCAGAUCAGCAACGCUGCGGUGAAUACGUUCCCGGGUCUUGUACACACCG
rnacentral:rRNA from 1 species